GACGAACGCUGGCGGCGUGCCUAACACAUGCAAGUCGAACGGAAAGGCCCGGCUUUUGUGGGGUGGUCGAGUGGCGAACGGGUGAGUAACACGUGAGUAACCUGUACCUGACUUUGGGAUAUCUUCAGGAAACUGGGGCUCUUACCGGAUAGGAGCUCUUGCUGCAUGGUGGGGGUUGGUUAGUUUCGGCGGUUGGGGAUGGAAUGGCGGCUUAUGAGCUUGUUGGUUGGGUAGUGGAUUACCAAGGUUUUGAAGGGUAGCCGGCCUGAGAGGGUCACCGGCCACAUUAGGACUGAGAUACGGCACAGCCUGCAACGGGAGGCAGCGGGGGAGAGUAUGACACAGUAGGCGGAAGCCAGAUGUGGCGACGCCGCGUGCGGGAUGACGUGCUUCGGGUUGUGAACCAAUGUCGCCUUUGACGAGGCGUGAGUGACGGUACUGGGUAAAGAAGCACCGGCUAACUACGUG
rnacentral:rRNA from 1 species